GACGAACCGUGCGAACGUUGUUCGGAAUCACUGGGCUUAAAGGGCGCGUAGGCGGGCCGCCAAGUCCGCGGUGAAGUCCCGCCCGUCACACGGGGAACUGCCGCGGAUACUGGAGGUCUCGAGGGGGGUAGGGGCAUGCGGAACUGCGGGUGGAGCGGUGAAAUGCGUUGAUAUCCGCAGGAACUCCGGUGGCGAAGGCGGCGUGCUGGACCCUUUCUGACGCUGAGGCGCGAAAGCCAGGGGAGCCAAACGGG
rnacentral:rRNA from 1 species